rnacentral:tRNA from 1 species
UCCCUGAUAGCUCAGUUGGUAAAGAAUCUGCCUACAAUGCAGGAGACUCCAGUUCGAUUCCUGGGUCAGAGAG